GCCGCUUAUACAGGCUGCGUGUAGAUCUGCCGCUUGCUCCGCCCAUUCCAUGUGGACACGCCCACCAAGCGAUGUUUCUCUGGACGUGCUGCUUUUCCCGCUGUUUUUGCCAGGUUAUUUUUAGGUGCUCGGAAACCCUCAAUCUUAACAAGUCAUUCCCAGACGUCGGUAUCAGAACAGUGAUUAAAUAUACCAUCUGUGCUAGCUGAAGAAUUGUGAAAGAGGUUUCACACUUGACUGACCCCAUACAGACCAGACCUCAGCUAACACAGAAAUCUGUAUCUUAUACUAAACCAUCACAAGCCUUUCUGGAAAAAGAAAAAACAUUUAAGAACCGCACUUAGCAACAGAAAGUGUAAGCUGAUCCCAUCAGCAACAUCUGGCCUGAACCAUUUGUCUAAAGUCCAAAAGACAAAGCAGAAGAAAGGAAUUGCGUCUGUCUUGACAGUCUGUGCAGUACACCAUGGGGAACAGGAAGAAAACAGAGAUGAUACAAUGGGAUUUUAAAUGAAGCAACAUGUUGAAAGCAUAUUAUUAGUGAACAUGACGUUCCUUAGAUUCCUCCACGUUUGGAAUGAAAUGAAUUCUGAAAGUAAUAGUGAGCAUCUGCUGGAAGCACUGAAUUGCUUGUACCUAAUAUGUAAAUGACAAAGUCCAAAAAAUGUCAGCACAAGACAACCUCCCGUCCAUGCCAGUGAUUGUCAGUGAGCCAAACUGACUACAAUAGUAGUGACUACAGUACUUCAAUUAUUUUUAAUACAAAAUAGAAUUGAUUCAGUGUUUUCAAUGGGAUUCUGCUGCACCGUGUGCAAUGGAAUAUCUGCCAUGGAAAUUCCAAUUCUGGCCUCCACCAAAAG